AGACCGGUGUUUGUCCUAAGUCGGAACUUGAUUGGGCUGAGAAAUCACAUUGUGACUAUUCCACGACUUGAACAAGGGGUAGAAAUCGCAGGCACCGCGAAAUAGAAACUUCCUAGGACCAAGAAGCCAACGACGCCCGAAACCGUGGGGUCCUGUCACAGAAACCCCAGCAGCGCAGCCACCGGACUGGGUUCUGGAGGCCGAGCCGCAGUCCGUGCGGCGGCGCUGGGAAGAGAAGGCGCCCCGGCAGCUCCCCUGCCACCGGCCCCGAGGAGCGGCUGGCUCCCCCAGCCCAGCGCCGCCGCCGCCCGGUAACUCCAGGCGCAACUGGGCGCAACUGGGGCAGCUGCGACACCGAAUCCCUCACAUCUGCAACCUGGGUGCUGCGGCCACUGAGAAAAUGGAGGCGCAGACCAACGAGCGGUGCCGCGACCGAGAGACCUCGGCUGGCGAAAUGGUGGUGCCGGGAGCCUGCGAGUGACGCCAGCCGGCGGGGUUGUCAAGGACAACAUUCGUUUUGACGCAGCCAAUGGCGCCGUCACCAAGAAACCAUCGACUCUGAGAAAAAAGAGAGGUUCGGCCACCGAGAAACUCCGUACGACAAGUGCUGUGGCAGAAAAACCGCCUACUCCGCGCCACAGGCAAAACAGCCAAUGGAAACCCCAGGUGCUGCGACCGUGACACCGGCACUAGAGGGUCUCGGAUGGAGAAAGCGGCGCACGGAGACCAGGAAACUAUGUGUAGCACAACUAGCAGAAAACCGUCUGGUCGGCCAUCCGGGAGAAAGCGCGGAUCAGAAACAAGCGACUUCGAUGCAGGGAACCGCGCAGCCACUGAAGAAAGUGACCCACGUGGCAGUGGUGCCAGCGAAACACUGCAGUUUGGACGGCAGCUGUGGGGAUGCCACAGAGAAACAUGCACUGCCACUGAAGUACAUCCAGCUCCGCGGAGCUAGUGUUCAUAUGAUCAAGAAACCGCCAGUUGGGCUCUGCUAGAAACUUUUAGUCCUCCCUUAACGGCUAUCCUACCCACAACAGACAAUGCCUUUACCCAGCACCUAGCGGUGCUGAGACCCGCCUGGGCCAGCACAGAGCGCAGAGCAGUACGGGUACGGAGAAACGCCGGACUCAGUGAAACCAGCCUUGCCUCCAGCGGAUUCCCCGGCUUCGCCGGACGCCACAGGCAGAGUGCCGCGGGGAAACCUCUGGCUCCCUAAACCGAUUAGAUUGUGGGAGUGGGGGGGACACUCACAAGUUGUGUGGAAGGGAACCAGCGGCAAUGGGACCCGGCGAGCACUUGCCCGCAGCAAAUGCCUGCGCUGCUGCAAAAAAAACAACUUUUGGCGCAAAGAAUGUUGCGGCCAGAGAGCAUCCGCUGUCGCUGACAAAGGAGUAGCAAUGGCAAUGAGAAACCGCCGGCGCCACGGCCGACCGCGGCGGCUCACGCCUAUGAUCCUUGCAGUUUGGGAGGCCGAGGUGGGCGCAUUACUUGAGAUCAGGAGACUAGCCUGGCCAACAAGGUGAAACCCCAUCUCUACUAAAAUACAAAAGAUUAGCCGGUUGUGGUGGCAGGCACCUGUAAUCCCAGCUACUCCGGAGGCUGAGGCAGAAGAAUCGAUUGAACUCAGGAGGCAGAGGUUGCAGUGAGCCAAGAUCGCGCCACUGCACUCCAGCCUGGGAGACAGAGUGAGCUCCGUCUCAAAAAAAAGAAAGAAACCGCUGGCGCCGGGAAAGGAGCCGUGCAGCGAUGGACCCAUGGUGCGCUCCGUGCUACCAAAGUGCUGUGGCCUCUACCCACUCUCGAUUCCCAAGGCUGUUUUUCGGGCUUAGGGAAGUCUGUUAUAUUUUUAUUUCUGCUUCUUUCUUUUCUUUCUUUUAUUUCUUUCUUUCUUUUUCUUUCUUUCAUUCUUUCUUUUUCUUUUUCUUUCUUCUUUCCUUUCUUUCUCUCUUUCCUUUUUUUCUUUUUCUCUUUAUUUCUUUUUUCUUUAUUUUUUUUUUUAACAGUAUCUUGCUCUGUUGCCCAGGCUGGUGCAGUGGCGUGAUCACUGCUCAGUGCAGCCUCGCCUUCUUGGGCUCCAGCUAUCCUCCCGCCUCAGCCUGUGGAGCAGCUGGGACCACAGGUGCGCGACACCACACCCGACUAAUUUUUUGUAGUUUUUGUAGGGUCUCGUUUUGUUGCCUAGGCUGUUCUCGAACUCCUGAGCUCAAGCAGUCCGUCCGCCUGGGCGGACUAAUAUCACAAAGCGCUAGAAUCACAGGCAUGAGCCACCGUGCUGGGAGGGAAGUCUGUAUUGUUGCUGCGUUCAACCCAGUGCAUAGUGCAUGAGAAGAGGAGGCAGUUUAGGGGCCCAGAACCAAGCGGAUGGGGCUGGUUGCAGGAACAAAGUAAAAACCAUUCUGAUUGCCAACAGCUGCCUACGCAGGAAACACCCUUCCAACCUCCGUGGCGGGGCUCUCCCAGGCCACCCCUCGGUCCCAGAGUCUCCUCCCCGUCCAGAGCUCUCAGGAUCCUACAGAAGGGGCGGACAACUCUUCCCUUCCAAACUGGAAAGUCGGCCUAGGUUUCCGAGGAUAAUGAAAGGCACAGCGUUUUUUGACCUCGACUUCAGGCCUGACCCCCCACUCUCUCGGUCCCGUACCUCUUCUGCGGGAUGUAACUCUGUGGGAACCGCUCCUUUAUUCUGAUGAUUAACUGUCUGAUAUCCUUGAUAUUUGGGGAUAGUAGAUGAAAGAGAGCAGGAGAGAAAAAUGGACGGCAAGACUCCAGCUCAGAAGGUGGGAAUGAUGGCAAAAGUCCGCUACCUCUCCAAGCCCAAUAAACAUCUCAAACUGCUCUACACUUUUCUGUACCCUUGAUCUGUGAAAUGGAUCACUGACGUUUUCUGUCUUUCGGGAAAUGCAAAGCAGGCGAAUUUUCAAGCGCUUGAAUUCCCUCUUUUUCCUACUUUUCAGUCAGAGUGGAGCUAAAAACUCCUUCCCCAUAGGAAAUAUGGAACUGCCUCUGCCCGGAAGAAAAACGUCCCUUUUCCCUAAGCUUUCACAUUUCCCGAAAAAUCUACACAUCCGCAUGAAAUCCUCACAAGAGACCUACAGACCCUACCGGGAGCGUUCCUGUCACUACAAAAAAUUUAAAAAUUAGCCGGAUGCGGUCGCGGGUGCCUGUAGUCCCAGGUACCAGGGAGGCUGAGGUGGGAGGAUCUCUUGAGCCCAGGAGGUCCAGGAUGCAGUUAACGAUGAUCCUAAGACCACGAGGCAAUUGGAGGAUCCUCAAAUACCAGGGAGAAACUAGCUAGCAGACAUAGUAUGGUGGGAGGGGAAGAUCAAGGCAAAUGCCUUGGGAGUGGGUGAGAAUUGCGACUUCAUAUUGGAUCUCCUGACCUGUGAAGGCCCUUUUCUAGGCUCCUCUGGACCUGUCCUCUGCCCAGGUUCAACCAGAAAAGGAUGGAGUUUGUUGCAUGGUAUCAUCAGGGUGAGGUUGGGAGAUGAUGCGGGAACGCUCAUCCCUGGUCUUAGGAACGGGAGAACAAAGGAAAAAUGGCAUCAUUUCCACCUAAAAAGUUACAAGCACUUCACCAGAAGGAACAGCCCAGGCGGAGCCUUUGUAAAAGAAAAGCCCCACCCACUGCUUCGCACUCCUCAUUUCCACCCAGCAGAGCAUUUUAGUGACAAAGCUGAGCGGGAGCCAGAGUUCACUCCUGUAAUCCCAGCACUUUGGGAGGCCCAGGCGGGAGGAUCACUUUAACCCACGCGUUCAGGACCAUCCGAAGCACAUAGCAAGACCGUGCCACUACAAAAAAUUUAAAAAAUUAGCGGGAUGCAGUCGCGGGUGCCUGUAGUCCCAGCUACCAAGGAGGCUGACGUGGGAGGAUCUCUUGAGCCCAGGAGGUCCAGGCUGCAGUGAACGAUGAUCCUUCACGGCACCACUGCACUCCAGCCUGGGUGACAGACUGAGACUUUGUCUCAAAAAAUAAAAUGAAAUAAAAAUACAGCCGAGAUUAGGAACUCUUUAAGAAGGGGUCACCUGAGACAUUAUUAGUAUACCAUUAACAGGAGAAAAUGCUGCAAAUUAAAGUAUCAUAAUGGUAGGAGGCUACCCAUUUAAAAAUAUAUACCUGUUUCAGAGACACUAAAGUGAGAAAAAAUUUACUCUAGAAUUGAUUAAAUUCAGAUAUCCACUGCUUUAUUUUAAACCUUAAGUGCCAUUUUAGUUUAUUUACCUCUUAGAAAUAGCAUGGAGAUUGGAGUUGUAAUUUUUUAAUAUUUAUUUAUUUAUUUAUUUAGAGACAGAGUCUGGCUCUGUUGCCCAGGCUGGAGUGCAGUGGUGUGAUCUCAGCUCACUGCAGCCUCUGCCUCCCGGGUUCAAGCUAUUCUGAGGCCUCAUAUCUGGGAACCUGCCCCAAUAGUCACAUAGGUUCUUUUCUAUUUUCCCUAAGCAUCGGCCGGUUUGAGAAAUAAAGGGACAGAGUACAAAAGAGAGAAAUUCUAAAGCUGGGUGUCUAGGGGAGACCUCACAUGUCAGUAGGUUCUGUGAUGCCCCACAAGCUGUAAAACCAGCAAGUUUUUAUUAGGGACUUUCGAAAGGGGAGGGAGUGUACGAAUAGGGUGUGGGUCACAAAGAUCACAUACUUCACAAGGUAAUAGAAUAUCACAAGGCAAAUGGAGGCAGGGCGAGAUCACAGGACCACAGGACCGGGGUGAAAUUCAAAUUGCUAAUGAAGUUUUGGGCACCAUUGUCAUUGAUAACAUCUUAUCAGGAGACAGGGUUUUGAGAGCAACUGGUCUGACCAAAAUUUAUUAGGCGGGAAUUUCCCCUUCCUGAUAAGCCUGGGAGCACUAUGGGAGACUGGGGUUUAUUUCAUCCCUACAGUCUCGACCAUAGAAGACGGCCACACCCAAGGGGGGCAUCUAUAGACCCACCCUCAGGUGCGUAUUCUCUUUCCCAGGGAUGUUCCUUGCUGAGAAAAAGAAUUCAGCAAUAUUUCUUCCAUUUGCUUUUGAAAGAAGAGAAAUAUGGCUCUGUUCCGCCUGGCUUUUUCCCAGCGGUCAGAGUUUAAGGUUAUCUCUCUUGUUUCCUAAACAUUGCUGUUAUACUGUUCUUUUUUCAAGGUGCCCAGAUUUCAUACUGUUUAAACACACAUGCUCUACAAUUUGUGGAGUUAAUGCAAUUAUCACAGGGUCCUGAGGCGACAUACAUUCUCCUCGGCUUACGAGAUGACAGGAUUAAGAGAUUAAAGUAAAGACAGGCAUAGGAAAUCACAAGGGCAUUGAUUGGAGAAGAGAUAAGUGUCCUUGAAAUCUUCACAAUUUAUGUUUAGAGAUUGCAGUAAAGAUAGGCAUAAGAAAUUAUAAAAGUAUUAAUUUGGGGAACUAAUAAACGUCCAUGAAAUCUUCACAAUCCACGUUCUUCUGCCAUGGCUUCGGCCGGUCCCUCCUUUUGGGGUCCCUGACUUCCCGCUACAGCCUCAGCCUCCCAAGUAGCGGGGAUUACAGGCACCAGCCACAAUGCUCAGCAAUUUUUUUGUAUUUUUAGUAGAGAGGGGGUCUCGCCAUUUUGUCCAGUCUGGUCUUGAACUCCUGACUUCUAUAUGAUUGUAUUUGUUUUUUCACAAUGUAGUUCAAUACAUUGAAAUGGUUGGGCAAGUGGCAAAAUCAUAUUCCUCACUCCUCUGGUUUUUUAUAAGGUUCAAUUUAUCAUAAAUACUUUCCACUUCUUGCCUCAUCUUUUACUUCUCCUCACAUAUUGAGUGGUUCAUGGCACAAAAAUCAUUAUUUGUGACAGACACUGUGCCAACUGUAUUUUGUGCUUUAUCUGAUUUCAUUCUCAACUGAAAACUGCGGCAAGCACAUGCUUUGUACUGGGCUUGCUUCUCAUUUCCAUUUUGUAGAUACACACCCUCACUUAGGGAAGUAUGAGUUUGUACAGCUCUGCCUGUGGCUGAAUAGAUAAAUGUAAUUUUACCAUUCAGUGUUAAAUCAACUUUUAGUGUAAAUUUAAGGCCCAUCUUCUAACAUAGGGGUACGUGUGAUUUUACUGUGUCCCUUCUCCCUAACACUCCAGUUCAAGAUAGCAACCUAAAUUCUGAGUUGAUUAUUCUGGACACACUCCCUCAAAAUGCGACUGUAAGACACCAGAAUACACCACCCCAGUAUGCCAAUAUAUCAAUAUACCUCUGGCGUAUUGAUUAUUUCAGGCCAGGCAUGGUGGCUCACACCUGUAAUCCUAGUGCUUUGAGAGGCCAGGAGUUCAUGAGCAGCCUGGGCAUGUAGGGAGACCCAUCUCUAUAAAAAUAUUUUUAAAAGAUUAGCUGGGCAUGGUGGCAUGUGCCUGUAGUCUUAGCUGCUGGGGAGGCUAAGGCAGGAGGAUGGCUUGAGCCCAGGAGUUUGAAGUUGCAGUGAACUCUGAUUGCACCACUGCAUUCUAGCCUGGGUGACAGAGUAAGACGCUAUCUCUUAAAAAACAAAACAAAACACUCACGCCUGUAAUCCCAGCACAUUGAGAGGCCAAGGUGGGCAGAUCACUUGAGGUCAGGAGUUUGAGACCAGCCUGGCCAACAUGGUGAAACCCCGUUUCUACUAAAAAUACCAAAAUGAGCCAGGCGUGGUGGCACGCAGCUGUAAUCUCAGCUACUUGAGAGGCUGAGGUGGGAGAAUUGUUUAAACCCAGGAGGCAGAGGUUGCAGUGAGCCAAGAUCGCACCAAACCACUCCAGGCUGGGCAACAGAGCAAGACUCCAUCUCAAACAAAACAAAACGAGAUGAGAGAAAAACCUCAACCUGUACACCUCUUUAUGACAGAACAACACAGAAAGAGAAAGACAAAGAAAAGACUACUCUAGGAGGAAAUGGAUGAAACAAUAUGAUUCUUACCACAAAGUACCAGAAAGUACACCAUAGUCAAUACACCAGCACUGGUCACACAAAUCCUUUUCUCCCAUCAGUCAAAAUUUUGGACAGGAAAAAUGAACAGAGUGAUAUUUACUGUCUACUUGACCAAAUUCCACAGAGAGGGGCCUGGAAUCUGACUGGUAAGAAAUUCUUAUCCUUAGGCUGGCUGAUUAGCUCCUGGUUUUCCUUAACUGUGGGCUUCCAAAAGAGCCAACCUUUGGGUUCCUGCUUACAACACCAAAUUUCUAGGGGCCAAGGGAAAUCUUUCUCUUAGCACUCUGAAAGUUUGUUGUAAAAUCGACUUGCAAAAACAGAAGAUUAACAGGAGAAAACACAUACAAAAUGUAUAAUUGCCCAAACCCCCAGUGAGGUGCAGGAGCUUAUAUAUCAUCUUGAGAUUACAGAAAGAAGUGGAUCAUGGCAGAACUGGUUAUAGGAGGGAGAGAAGAUGAGGUCUGCUAGCAAUGGUAGUCUUGUUAUGUACAUGAAACCUCACAGAUAGCAUCCCUCAGAGAACUGUUUCCUUAAGACCUUUAAAGGUGUCAGACUCUCAUUAAUCCUUCCUACAUCUGGAAAAGAGAAGGCCUGUAUAUAUCAAUGCACGAUGGCAUUGCAGGGCUACUUCUUUUGCUGCCUCUGACAGCCAUCUCAAAAUAUGUCAAAGAAAUAUAUUUUGGGGUAAAACAUUUUUCUUUCUUUCAAAGUGGAAUAUUAAGCGUACGUCUCUUAUAGAUACACUUUUAAAUAAAUAAGGGAAUCCACUUUUUCUAAUUUGUUAAGAUAUUUUUUGUUUUAAUAAUGAAGAGAGGUUAACUUUUAAAAAGGUUUUCUACAUCUACUGAUAUUAUCAUGUGGUUUUAUUUCUUUUUACUGUUAAUGCGGUGAAUAAUAUUGAUUGAUUUUCAAAUGCGAGUUCCUGGAGUAAAUCCCACUAGGUCAUGAUGUAUUUUUAAAAUAUAUAUAUUGCUGGAUUCAGUAUGCUAAUGCAUUAUUCAUAAUUUUUAACAUCUGUGAUCAUGAGAGACAUUGGCUGACCAAAAAUGGGAAAUUGACAAGAGUAAUAAACAAAAUGGGCUUACAAAUAUUCAUACUUGCUUGAUACUUAAAAAGGCCUUUUAAUGUAUUUUUCUGCCCCACUCAAGCAGACUUUUUAAUUUCUGGCAAGAGGUCUCAUUCAGGCUGUUCAAAGGUCAAUAUUAAUCUGAAUCAUUCCACAUUUGUAGGCAUCCUCAUUAUCUUUUCAAUACAGAUUGAAUUAUUGGGGAUUCAGACAGCAGAGGAAAAAAGUCAAAGCAUAUAAGGUGAGUAAGAAUUGUCACUUCCUGACAGGACCAGGAACAUCAGGAUAUUUGGAGAAUCUUAACAAAAGGAGAAUUCAUCCAAAUCUCUAGGUAUUGCAGGCAAAGUAUGAUAGCAAGAUCCUGGUUUGGUUUCCUAGCAUCUGGACGCUUUUAAAAGUCUAAUUUGAGAUUCCUUAUGAAAAUGUCCAGGUAAGUCAACUUAAAGAGAGCCUACACUGCAGCAUAAGUUCCUAGUUAUCAUUGCUAAAGUAAAGUUAUCAUUGCUGAGAGUACCAUAUCAUCCUCUGGAGAAACUGAACCUCUAUAGAGUUAGUUCUACUUAUAGUGCAAAACAGUGCUUCAAGUUAGAGUCAGCAUAUUUACUGAUUCUAUGCAGUAACCAGUGUUAUCUAUGUUUCUCCAGACUUGUCAAAUUAUACCUUUUUCUUUAAUCAGGGUGGGCUCAUAGUUGUCACAAUUUGUGUACUAGGGGUGAGAGAAACUGUGGUUCUUCUCUCUAAAGAGCUCGAAUUUUGUCUGACCUCGUUUUCUUUUUUUUUCUUUUUUUUUUUUUUUCAGUGUUUCUUUGUUGCCCAGGCUGGAGUGCAAUGGCAUGACCUCAGCUCACUGCAACCUCCACCUCCCCAGUUCAAGAGAUUCUCCUGCCUCAGCCUCCUGAGUAGCUGGGAUUACAGGCAUGUACCACCGUGCCUGGCUAAUUUUGUAUUUUUUAGUAGACACACGGUUUCUCCAUGUUGGUCAGGCUGGUCUCGAACUCCUGACCUCAGGUGAUCCACCCGCCUCAGCCCCCCAAAGUGCUGGGAUUACAGGUGUUAGCCGUGGCGCCCAGCCCUGUCUGACCUACUUUUCAAAACCAAAAAGAUGAGCAAUAAGAGGGCAGUUAAUUAGCAAGACCUCCUUCCCUAAGAUCUUAUUCUAAGGUUGGGAGAUAGGACAACAGACAGGAAGAAAGACGUCAGAAAUAUACAUUUAAGAGAAAAAUGUUCUUUUGGCAGGCCUAAGACAUUUUCUAUUAGAGUGUGUUAAGGGUCUCUACUAGCAUCUUCAGAUUGUUCUGUCAUCACCACCAGUGUUUUCUGAAACCCUCCUCCUUUUCCCACCCCCUCCCUCCCACUCCAGAAAAACCACACACAAGGUUAAGCCUCCUAUCCAGUGUCUCCUGGAAGUCUAAGGAAGUCACAGGUGCCUCUGUGGUCUGGGGAUCCCAGUCUUGGAAUGGGAGUGAGUUCUGGGACAAAGGUGAAAUCAGACAUGGUAAAUCAGAUACCUAGCCUGUUGUAGGCUGGUGGUUUAAAUGUUAGGAUUCUGGCGUGAUCCUGCUGUGGUUCAAAUUUCUCACCUCUUUGACUUUCAGAAGUUAGUUUAAUCCUUGUGUUUCAUUCCCAUUGUUAGUAAAACCAGAUAUAAUUGCGGUACUCAUUAUAUCAGUGAGGUUAAUGGGUAUCCUUCCUUAAGCAUAGUCUAGCACCAUUUAAAAUAAUAAAUAUUAACUAGGAUUUUAUUCUAAUUACUCCUUUCCAGCAAUUCUGGGGGCUAAGUUUUCCCCAGUGUUAGUUCUGUAGUGCGUGAAAGCUCAGACUUUCUUCUCUGGAAGCUACUUUCUAAACUCCUUUCACCCCACCUCUUUAUUAACUAAGAUAUCCACCUCACCCUUUCCAUCUUUUCCUGUCACCAACAUUCUCUGUGCCUCCCUCACUGUUCUGAGGCUGUAUCAUAUCCAGAAAAUAAUCAUCAGUCAUUUCAUAGUAAAUUGUAAGAGCAUUGCUAGUGUUCACAUGUUUAAUCACGGGAUGAUACUUCUGCCAUUUCAUCCUCAAUUCUGAUACCUCCAGUUCGUGUUUGCUUAUGAAACAGGGACCACUUGAGGGACUGAUGAGUUUGUUGCAUGUUGUAGGCACUGAUGUGCUUUUAUUUAACUACACUGGUUUUCUGGUUUUAUCAUUUUUCUCAUAGUUGUCACCAACUUGUGGUCUCAUAAUUGUUACCAACUUGUGAAGUAGGGGUGAGAGAAACUGUGGUACUUCUCUCUAAAUAGCUUGAAUUUCGUCUGACCUAGUUUUCAAAAGCAAAAAAAAAUGAACAGUAACAGUGCAGUUAAUUAGUAAGACCUCCUUACCUAAGAUCUCAUUCUAAGGUCUGAGAGAUAGGACAACAGACAGGAAGAGGGUUGUCAGAAAAAUACAUUUAAGACAGAAAUGUUCGGCCAGGCACCGUGGCUCAUGCCUGUAAUCCCAGCACUUUGGAAGGCCAAGGCGGGUGGAUCACGAGGUCAAGAGAUCAAGACCAUAUACAAAUACAAAAUUAGCUUGGCGUGGUGGUGCACACCUGUAAUCCCAGCUACUCUGGAGGCUAAGGCAGGAGAAUCACUUGAACCAGGGAGGCGGAGGUUGCAGUGAGCCAAGAUGGUGCCACUGCACUCCAGCCUGGUGACAGAGCAAGACUCCGUCUUGAGAGAGAGAGAGAGAGAGAGAGAAAUGUUUUUUGGCAGGCGUUAAGACCCUAAUGGAACACAUGUUUAAAAAAAAUGGUGGGGGGGGGAAGAGAAAAAUCAUUAAAGAUGAAAAAUUGCCAGAAAUUCCCCUGUGUACUUUUCCCCUUGCCUCUUACUUUCUGGUUUCUGAAACAAUAACUGAUCAAUGGGGUGUGGUGAGGGAGUAGAGAAAGAAUGAAUAGCCCUGAAUGCACUGAUAAUAGACUGCUUGCCAAUAACCACUGAUAGAGUUUGAAUACAAUUCUACAAUGGGAAAAAAUGUUUUUAAACAUAUGUCUGAUGAAGGAUUGCUAUCCAGAAUAAAUUAACACUUUCUAAAACUCAUCAUUAAAAAACAAACAACCCAUUUCAAAAAUGGGCAGAGGACUUAAAUAGACAUUUCUCCAAAGAAGACAUACAAAUGGCCAAUAAGCACAUGAAAAAAAUAUGUCCAGCAUCACUAAUUCUUAGGGAAAUGCAAAUCAAAACUACAGUGAGAUACAGGUACCACUGCACAUCCACUAGGAUGGCUACUAUCAAAAAAAAAAAAGAUAAUAAGAGUUGGCAAGGAUAUAAGGAGUUUGGAACCCCUAUGUAUGCACUGUUGUAAGCAUGUAAAUUGGUACAGCCAAUGUAGAAAACAGAAAGUUCCUCAACAAAUUAAAAAUAGAAUUACCAUAUGACCCAGCAAUUUCACUUCUGGACAUAUACUCAAAAUAAUUAAAAGCAGAGUCUCAGGAAGAUAUUUGUACACCCAAGUUCAUAGCAGCAUUACGCAUAAUAGCAAAGAUGAGGAAGCAACUCAAGUGUCCAUUCACACAUGAAAGGAUAAGCAAGACAUGGUACAUAUAGACAGUCAGCCUUUAAAAAGAAGGAAAUGCUAAUAUGCUACAUCACAGAUGAACCUAAGGGACAUUAUACUAAAUGAAAUAAGCCAGGCACAAGAAGACAAAUACUGUAUGAUUCCACUUACAUGGGGUACUUAGGGUAGUCAACAUCAUAGACACAAUGCAGAAAGGUGGUUGCCUGGCAUGGGGGAGAGGAAAGUAGGGAGUUAUUCUUUAAAGGAUACAGAGUUUCACUUUUAGAAGACACAAAGAGUUGUGGAGAUGGAUGAUGACAAUGGUUGCAAAGCAUUAUGAACUGUACACUUAAUGGUUAAGAUGGUAAAUUUUGUGUGUAUUUUACAGAGAGAGAGAGAGAGAACUGGGCACCCGCUCUUGCAUUCUCUUCACUAAAAUCCCAAAUGUUCAUUUACAGAUAGUCACCCAUAAGCGUUUUUCUCCCAGCAGAACAGAAUUCCAGUCUCUGCUCAGGAGUAGCAAUCUGACUUGGGGAAAUGAUAAACUUUCUAUAAACCAGGGUCCCCCAGAACAGCUUUCUCUUCAUAGGCCCAGUACUAAUUUUUCUUUUCAUCCCCUGAGACAAACUAUUUGUCUCUGGAUAGCUUUCACAUGAGAUGAUAGAACUUGAUGUUAAUGUCAUUAAUUCUGUUUUCAUAUGCAAUCUGCUUCUAGGAUUAAUGUCACCAGCCAGGUUCCUAACCUAUGUGGAACACCCAGGGCCAGAAGAGUCUAAAAUUGCAAAAGCUCGUGGCUCCUGAGUCCAAGAGUUCCUGGUUUUCCUGGACACAAGCGAUAGCGCAGCACUUUCUUCCCCAUGUGCCAGAGGCCUAGGGUUCUGCAGAAGAGGCCCCAAGGCCCCAGACGCUGCAAGCCCUAAGCUCAGUAUAUUCUAGGCCCUGUCCUCUCACUUUCUAUUUCUUGUGUGGCCCCCAAACUUGUGCCAGCUAUCCUGGAACAGCCAAGAAUUCAACUGUGACCUGCUUCCUCCCUCAACCUCUUCUCCCCAACCUCCCCACCACACUUCUUCUUUGGGAAGAUUUGUAAAAAUUAAGGUUAUUAUAUCCAUGUAACUUUCUGUAUUUCUUUUAAACUCCUUGUGCUACUAAGUCACACAGGUUUGACUCCUGGAUCUAAAAAAGUCACCAACUCUGGCUAAAUCUUAAACAUUGACAGCAAUUGAAGCCUCAUCUUCAGACCUAGGAGAAGAUGAAAAUCAGAAUAAGCUGCAGUCAUAAGACAUGGGUCCAGAAAUUAAAACUAUUCAACCCCUCUAGUCCCAGGGACUAUUGCAGAAGAAGUGGGUGUGUGAGCUUGUAAGGAUCCAUUUUAAGAGAUAAAAUUAAUUCAGAGUUUCUCUAUAAAUUAAACAGUUGCAUUUGUUGUUGUUUUGAGACAGUCCAGCUAUGUCAUCUGGGCUGGAGUGCAGUGGCAUUAUCCUGGCUCACUGCAACCUCUGCCUGGCAAGAUUCCUGGCACCUCAGCCUCCCAAGUAGCAGGGACUACAGGGGUGCACCACCAUGCCUGGCUAAUUUUUGUAUUUUUAUAGAGACAAGGUUUCACCAUGUUGCCCAAGCUGGUCUCAAACUCCUGAACUCAAGAUAUCCGCCUGCCUAGGCCUUCCAAAGUGCUGAUUUUACAGCUAUGAGCCACCGUGGCCAGCCUAUAAAUUAAACAUUAAUGUCAAAGGAACACUGAUGCAAGACAAGCAUGUGGGUCCCUGUGUCAGAUUAACAAUGUUUUCUUGGAGCAUUAACACAUUCCUUACUUAAAAAUUAUGAAAGGUUAUGAGAAGGUUUACAAAAAUUAUAUCUUACACUCAAGAUUAUUAAAAUUUAAUAGAUUUGUCUGUAAAUUUAAUUGACUUCAUCCUGUCUUUAUUAGGUUUUAUUGUUUGGGAAAGUAAGUCUCAAAGAGUAAAAGUUUUUGCCUUUUUGUUUUUAAAAUAUUUGAGUUACCACUUUGACUAAAUGAAUGACUUAUUUUACAAUGACCUGUGAUGCUAUUUUGUGAUAUUGUGUUUUCAACCUUUGAUGUUUGACAAACUUUCCAAAAUCUAAAUCUAAAUUCAGGGCUUUGGUCUCACUAAUUUUUUUGACAUUACAUCCCCUGAAAUCCAAAGAGACAUAUUUGGCUUACUUGGUAUAAUAAAAUCUUCGUUAUCAAAUAUGAAAUGAUGUGUAAACUUUUUUGGCUUGUAUUUAUAUAAAUGUGUUAUUAGUAUGUGUUCCAAAAUUGUAUGAGAUUCUUGUGAUUCUGAUAUGUCUUAGAAUAUGUUAUCAGAACUAAUUAUGAUUAUUAUAUUAAAUUGUUAUGUGCCGUAGAUACAACCAAA